AAGAACCCUCAACUGGUAUACGUUUACCUCCCAAAUUGAGGCCGACAUUCCAGUAUGAUGGUGAAGAUUCUAUCGGAGACUCUCUCGCACUCAAGAAAUUCAUCCAUUGCAAUUUUAAGAAAUUUGAGUUUCCCUCAUAACCAAAUACAAUCGCCUUAAUCCUAAACCCUCAAAAUUUAAGCACCGUUUUGAGAUAACCUCCAGGUUAUCCUAAUUUUAUCUUCUUCUUAUCUCCAUCGCAUACUAUAACACCAUCUCCAUUAUCUGUCAGAUGCCCAAGAUAUGUCUUUAAGAAAUAAUAAAGUAUGAGGAAAAAUCAUAAUGGAUUAGAAGUGGACGCGAGGGGAAGAGAUAAGUUGGAGUCAACAUCUAUACAGAAGAGAAACCAAGAUCUGGCUAAGCGCCGACCCUGUGUAUGUCUGAUUGUGCAACCAAUCAAUCUUAAAAUAACCAAAUAUAAGCCUAUGCACAUCCAAAAUCAUCAGUACAUACAAAUGAAAAUUAGGGACCAACUCUUUGGUGAUAUGGUGGUUAGAGUACGAUUGGCUUCACACCCCACUGGAAUGUAAAACAUGGGUUGUAUGAGACAAUUCCAAGCAUCAAAAGGGCAUAGAUACGUACAACAAUUCUAGUUCUGGAGAAGAUGAUGGACGAUUCAAAAUAAAAUCUUGAUCUACUCUAAUUCCCUGUGUAGGAUGCAACAAGUCUCUUUCCGGACAAAAAUGAUGAAUUGGAAGAAGUGAGGGAGUUUGUGAGGAAACAAAAUGACCAAAACGAAGACAUGAAGGAAAUAAUAUAGGCCAAAGUUGGAGAACACAACAUAAAAUGCGAGCAACUUAAAUGACAACUACAAUCGACAAUGACAGUUAUUAACGCUUUUAAAUAACUAUACAAGUAGAAAUACAUAGAGUGUUGAUUUGUUUUUCGCAAAGUUUUAUUUUAAAUUAUGUUACUAUUCAUUUCCAUGUAAUAAAUAUUUCUUGUUUUAUUUAUGGUAUAAAUUUU